GCCCGGGUAGCUUAGUUGGAAGAGCGUGGGACUUUUAUUCUCACGGAUUGAUCAGUUCUGGAUUGUAUAUCUUUCGUCCGAUAUAGAUUUGGUGCUAUCCCAAGGUCGCGGGUUCGAGCCCCGCCUCGGGCG